rnacentral:rRNA from 1 species
GCAGCCGCGGUAAUACGUAGGUUGCAAGCGUUGUCCGGAUUUACUGGGUGUAAAGGGCGUGUAGGCGGAGAUGCAAGUCAGAAGUGAAAUCCCGGGGCUCAACCCCGGAACUGCUUUUGAAACUGUAUCCCUUGAGUAUCGGAGAGGCAAGCGGAAUUCCUAGUGUAGCGGUGAAAUGCGUAGAUAUUAGGAGGAACACCAGUGGCGAAGGCGGCUUGCUGGACGACAACUGACGCUGAGGCGCGAAAGCGUGGGGAGCAAACAGGAUUAGAUACCCC